CAGUCUAGGACCCCAACACUUGGAUGAUUCUGCCCACAUUCAAGGCCUUCUUUCCUCAGUGUCCUUUUAAAUGAUGUGACUCUCCCGGGGACUCUUUCUUGAGAAGCAUCUGCCAUCCUACACAAUAAUUAGCCAGCGAUACAUUUUCUUUGUUGUUCAUUAAAGAUUAAUGAGA